rnacentral:rRNA from 2 species
CAGCCGCCGCGGUAAAACCAGCACCUCAAGUGGUCAGGAUGAUUAUUGGGCCUAAAGCAUCCGUAGCCGGCUCUGUAAGUUUUCGGUUAAAUCUGUAUGCUCAACAUACAGGCUGCCGGGAAUACUGCAGAGCUAGGGAGUGGGAGAGGUAGACGGUACUCGGUAGGAGGGGGUAAAAUCCUUUGAUCUAUUGAUGACCACCUGUGGCGAAGGCGGUCUACCAGAACACGUCCGACGGUGAGGGAUGAAAGCUGGGGGAGCAAACCGGACUAGAUACCCGGGUAGUCCCAGCUGUAAACUAUGCAAACUCAGUGAUGCAUUGGCUUGUGGCCAAUGCAGUGCUGCAGGGAGGCCGUUAAGUUUGCCGCCUGGGAAGUACGUACGCAAGUAUGAAACUUAAAGGAAUUGGCGGGGGAGCAC